GAGUCGGACCUGCCCGGUGAAUAAUUUUUAACGGCCGCGGUACUCUGACCGUGCAAAGGUAGCAUAAUCAUUUGCCCUAUAAUUCAGGGCUAGUAUGAAUGGUUUGACGUGAACAAAACUGUCUCUACAUAAUUUUUCAGAAUUUGAUUUCUAGGUGAAGAAACCUAGAUAUUAUUGAUAGACAAGAAGACCCUAUUGAGCUUUAAAAAAGUAGGUUGAAAAUAAUGUAUACAUGUUUUAAAUAUUAAUCUGCCUAAAAUUUUGGUUGGGGCGACUAUGGAACAAACAAAGCUUCUUUACACCUAUAAAAACUUACAGGUUUUGAUCCAAGCAUUUUGAUCAAUGAAAUUAGUUACCAUAGGGAUAACAGCAUAAUUCUCUUUGAGAGCUCUUAUCGAAAAGAGAGUUUGUGACCUCGAUGUUGGACUAGAAUAUCCUAAAGAUGCAGCAGUCUUUAAAGGUUGGUC
rnacentral:rRNA from 1 species